CCGGCACGGUGAGUAACACGUAUCCAACCUGCCGUCUACUCUUGGACAGCCUUCUGAAAGGAAGAUUAAUACAAGAUGGCAUCAUGAGUCCGCAUGUUCACAUGAUUAAAGGUAUUCCGGUAGACGAUGGGGAUGCGUUCCAUUAGGUAGUAGGCGGGGUAACGGCCCACCUAGUCUUCGAUGGAUAGGGGUUCUGAGAGGAAGGUCCCCCACAUUGGAACUGAGACACGGUCCAA
rnacentral:rRNA from 1 species